rnacentral:rRNA from 1 species
GACGAACGCUGGCGGCAUGCCUAAUACAUGCAAGUCGAGCGAACAGAUGAAGUGCUUGCACUUCUGACGUUUGCGGCGAACGGGUGAGUAACACGUAAGGAAUCUACCUAUAAGCGGGGGAUAACAUUCGGAAACGGGUGCUAAUACCGCAUAAUAUCUUCUUCCGCAUGGAAGAAGAUUGAAAGACGGCUCUGCUGUCACUUAUAGAUGACCUUGCGGUGCAUUAGUUAGUUGGUGGGGUAAUGGCCUACCAAGACAAUGAUGCAUAGCCGACCUGAGAGGGUGAUCGGCCACAUUGGGACUGAGACACGGCCCAAACUCCUACGGGAGGCAGCAGUAGGGAAUCUUCCGCAAUGGGCGAAAGCCUGACGGAGCAAUGCCGCGUGAGUGAAGAAGGCCUUCGGGUCGUAAAACUCUGUUAUAAGAGAAGAACAAAUUGUAGAGUAACUGCUACAGUCUUGACGGUAUCUUAUCAGAAAGCCACGGCUAACUACGUACCAGCCGCCGCCGUAA